rnacentral:tRNA from 1 species
UCGGGUGAGCCAGCGGAUAGGCGACCGGAUUCCAACUCCGGCCGAAUGUGGGUUCGACUCCCACCGCCCGGG